CCCUACGGGAGGCAGCAGUGGGGAAUAUUGCACAAUGGGGGAAACCCUGAUGCAGCGACGCCGCGUGAGUGAAGAAGUGCCUCGGCACGUAAAGCUCUAUCAGCAGGGAAGAAAAUGACGGUACCUGACCAAGAAGCCCCGGCUAACUACGUGCCAGCAGCCGCGGUAAUACGUAGGGGGCAAGCGUUAUCCGGAUUUAUUGGGUUUAAAGGGUGCGUAGGCGGUAUUUUAAGUUAGUGGUAAAACGUCGGGGCUUCACCUUGAUUGGCCAUUAAAACUGGAGUACUAGAGUACAGACGAGGUAG
rnacentral:rRNA from 1 species